UGGGGAAUAUUGGACAAUGGGCGAAAGCCUGAUCCAGCAAUGCCGCGUGUGUGAAGAAGGUCUUCGGAUUGUAAAGCACUUUCGACGGGGACGAUGAUGACGGUACCCGUAGAAGAAGCCCCGGCUAACUUCGUGCCGG
rnacentral:rRNA from 1 species